rnacentral:rRNA from 1 species
AUUGAACGCUGGCGGCAGGCUUAACACAUGCAAGUCGAGCGGGGUGAUGGUGCUUGCACUAUCACUUAGCGGCGGACGGGUGAGUAAUGCUUAGGAAUCUGCCUAUUAGUGGGGGACAACAUCUCGAAAGGGAUGCUAAUACCGCAUACGUCCUACGGGAGAAAGCAGGGGAUCACUUGUGACCUUGCGCUAAUAGAUGAGCCUAAGUCGGAUUAGCUAGUUGGUGGGGUAAAGGCCUACCAAGGCGGCGAGCUGUAGCGGGUCUGAGAGGAUGAUCCGCCACACUGGGACUGAGACACGGCCCAGACUCCUACGGGAGGCAGCAGUGGGGAAUAUUGGGCAAUGGGGGGAACCCUGAUCCAGCCAUGCCGCGUGUGUGAAGAAGGCCUUAUGGUUGUAAAGCACUUUAAGCGAGGAGGAGGCUCUUUUGGUUAAUACCCAAGAUGAGUGGACGUUACUCGCAGAAUAAGCACCGGCUAACUCUGUGCCAGCCGCCGCCGUAA